CACCGGCGGCUCGAGUGGUGGCCACUUUUAUUGGGUCUAAAGCGUCCGUAGCCGGCUUGGCAAGUCCCCUGGGAAAUCUGGCGGCUUAACCGUCAGGCGUCCAGAGGAUACUGCCAGGCUUGGGACCGGGAGAGGUGAGAGGUACCUCAGGGGUAGGGGCGAAAUCUUGUGAUCCCUGAGGGACCACCAGUGGCGAAGGCGUCUCACUAGAACGGGUCCGACGGUCAGGGACGAAAGCUGGGGGCACGAACCGG
rnacentral:rRNA from 1 species